UCUCCCUGUGUCUCCACCCACUGAAGUUCGCUCCUAGAAAAAUCUGCUCAUGUCCCCAAGAGCUCUGGAGAGGAUCUUGGCGUAGAGAGGCUGUUGUGCCUACUGGGAGGGUGGGAGCCAGGGUUAUACCGGCUCCUUGGCGCGUUUUCUCUGAGCUGGACGAGGCUGCGUGUGGACCUCCGAACCGUGGCCCGAGACGAGGCGCCCUUGCGCUGGCGGGAGGAGCCUGGAGGUUCUGGAGCGGAGCUGCUGCCCUGGGCUGGUGUGUGGAGGACGGUGGAAAUACGGGCCGGUAACCAGGCGGGAGUAACCAGAGACAGACGACUUCUGCGAUGUAAUGCCACUAGUGUCCAAAGGUUUAAACCACCCCUGACUCUUCUAGACAGGAGACUAGAGAACUCAGGGAAUAUCAUGGAAGAAUUGCUUCUCGGAGCUGCCUCCAUAAACAGCCUACAUCCUGGCUAAGCAAAGAGAGAAGAAACACUUCCCACAUCCAGGGCUGUCCAAAAGAACUUUCUGUGAUGACAGAAAUGUUCCAUAUUUGCAGUGUCUGAUACAGUAGCCACUAGCCACAUGGCUAGUGAACAAUUGAAAUGUUGCUACUGUGAUUGAGGAAGUAAAUUUUAAUGUUAUUUAAUUUUAAAUACUUUAAAUGUAAAUAGCCACAUGUGGCUAGUGACUAGUGUUGUGGACAAACCUUUCUCUUUCUUGUGUUUUACACCUUGCUGGGUGUGUAUGUGGGUGGGGGGUGUUGAAUAAGUUGUAUGCUUGACAUUCCAUGGUCUUUACUAUUCGACCUUGCCAUCGAACUUGUCUCCCAGAGGAAAGGGAAAAAUGGUAUUUUGGAACUAAAUUCAGAUGUUAACUUGACAUUUACACAUUGAACAUAUGUAUUUGUAUGUGUUUCUGUGUGAAUAGAAUGGUUUUCUGGGAAUAGGUCCUGUGGUGAUUUCAGUGAUAACUGAUGAUGGGAAAGUGGUGGUGCUGGUCACUUGACUUUCCUAGUGAACAUUAUGUGUUCCUUGUCAUAGUCAGUAGAGAUUCUGUUGUGCAGUUCAUUCUGUUACUUUAUUUUUGUACUAUUGUGGCUGCUAAAUGAUUAUUCCAUGUCUGUUUUUCAAAAUACUUUGUGGUUUAUAUUUUUUAAAAGGCUAUGAAAUAAAACACAGUAGCUCAGCCUGUGUGUAAGUGAA
rnacentral:lncRNA from 1 species